rnacentral:rRNA from 1 species
AAGCGCUUACAACCAGACUUGAGCGCGACGGUUCCCCCUUCCUUUUGGUUGGGCUACUCCGUCGUGUCCAGGCCAACAUCGGUUUUGGGGGUCGGUUAAAGACGCCGGGAAUGUACCUACCCUUCGGGCGUAGACUUAUAGCCCGGCGUGUCAUGCGACCUCCCGGGACCGAGGAACGCGCUUCGGCUCGGAUGUUGGCGUAAUGGUUGUCAGCGA